CAGCAGCCACGGUAAUACGUAGGGUGCGAGCGUUAAUCGGAAUUACUGGGCGUAAAGCGGGCGCAGACGGUUACUUAAGCAGGAUGUGAAAUCCCCGGGCUCAACCUGGGAACUGCGUUCUGAACUGGGUAACUAGAGUGUGUCAGAGGGAGGUAGAAUUCCACGUGUAGCAGUGAAAUGCGUAGAGAUGUGGAGGAAUACCGAUGGCGAAGGCAGCCUCCUGGGAUAACACUGACGUUCAUGCCCGAAAGCGUGGGUAGCAAACAGGAUUAGAUACCCGCGUAGUCCCUGUCUCUUAUAC
rnacentral:rRNA from 1 species